rnacentral:sRNA from 1 species
GCCAGGUGUAGUAGCUCACAUCUGUAAUCCCAGUGGCUAGGGAGGCUGAGAUAGGAGGAUUCCAAGUUCAAGACCAGCCUCAGCAAUUUAGUGAGGCCCUAAGCAACUUAGCAAGACCCUGUCUCAA